rnacentral:tRNA from 1 species
GGUGGUGUAGCUCAAUGGAUAGAGCAACGGCCCGCGAAGCCGUUGAUGGGAGUUCGAGUCUCCCCUCUGCCU